rnacentral:rRNA from 1 species
AUUGAACGCUGGCGGCAUGCCUUACACAUGCAAGUCGAACGGCAGCAUGGAGAGCUUGCUCUCUGAUGGCGAGUGGCGAACGGGUGAGUAAUGCAUCGGAACGUACCGUGUAAUGGGGGAUAACGUAGCGAAAGUUACGCUAAUACCGCAUACGGCCUGAGGGUGAAAGCAGGGGAUCGCAAGACCUUGCGUUAUACGAGCGGCCGAUGUCAGAUUAGCUAGUUGGUGAGGUAAAGGCUCACCAAGGCGACGAUCUGUAGCGGGUCUGAGAGGAUGAUCCGCCACACUGGGACGGAGACACGGCCCAGACUCCUACGGGAGGCAGCAGUGGGGAAUUUUGGACAAUGGGGGCAACCCUGAUCCAGCCAUGCCGCGUGAGUGAAGAAGGCCUUCGGGUUGUAAAGCUCUUUCGGCCGGGAAGAAAUCGCACAGGCUAAUACUCUGUGUGGAUGACGGUACUGGCAUAAGAAGCACCGGCUAACUACGUGCCAGCCGCCGCCGUAA